UAACAGCUCAAAUUUGAAAUCUGGCUCCUUUGGGGUCCGAGUUGUAAUUUGUAGAAGAUGCUUUGGGUGUGGGCCUGGCCUAAGUUCCUUGGAACAGGACGUCGUAGAGGGUGAGAAUCCCGUAUGCGGCUGGUGCCCGCGCCCAUGUAAAGCUCUUUCGACGAGUCGAGUUGUUUGGGAAUGCAGCUCUAAAUGGGUGGUAAAUUUCAUCUAAAGCUAAAUAUUGGCCAGAGACCGAUAGCGCACAAGUAGAGUGAUCGAAAGAUGAAAAGCACUUUGGAAAGAGAGUUAAACAGUACGUGAAAUUGUUGAAAGGGAAGCGCUGGCAACCAGACUUGGGCGCUGUUGAUCCGUUAGGGUUCUCCCUGGGGUACUCAGCAGUGCGCAGGCCAGCAUCGGUUUGGGGGGUUGGAGAAAGGCCGGUGGAAUGUGGCUGCCUUCGGGCAGUGUUAUAGCCACCGGUGGCAUGCAGCCUCCCCGGACCGAGGACCGCGCUUCGGCUAGGAUGCUGGCGUAAUGGUUGUCAGCGACCCG
rnacentral:rRNA from 1 species